AGCGAGUACUAUAGAAAUUAGGAAAAACUUCAAAUACCAUCUCUAUAGUUUCGCACUUUUUUAUUUUAGUAUUAUGUGGUUUAAAGUAUAUCAAUUUAGUACUCUGUGGUUUCGCACUUUCUCACUUUAGUACCCUGUGCUUUAAAGUGCAUCAAUUUAAUACCCUAUGAUUUCAUUUUUCUCUUUACGUCGGCUCCACUGUUAAUAUUUUGUUAAAUUAUAUACAAAAAACUUCAGAUAUCCUACCUAGGUUUAUCGAAUAUUUACUUUAUUACCCUUUAAUUUUAAUUUUGUCACUGAUUUUUUUCCCUCGUUAAUAUUUCGUUAAAUUAUAUACAAAAAAUUUCAGAUACCCUAUCUAGGUUUAUUGAAUAUUCACUUUAGUACCCUUUAAUUUUAACUUUGUCACUGAUUUAACAAAAAAAUUAGUGAAAUAGAUAAUAAAAAGAGAAAAAUGAAACCACAUGGUACUAACUUGAUACACUUUAAACCAUAUGGUACUAAAGUGAGAAAGUGCGAAAUCACAGGAGCUAACUUGAUACACUUUAAACCACAAGGUACUAAAGUGAGAAAAUACGAAACCACAGAGCGGUAUUUGAAGUUUACCCUAGAAAUUAUUUUUACCGUUCUAGCU
rnacentral:lncRNA from 1 species